rnacentral:rRNA from 1 species
UACGUAGGGGGCAAGCGUUGUCCGGAAUCAUUGGGCGUAAAGCGCGCGUAGGCGGCCCGGUAAGUCCGCUGUAAAAGUCCAGGGCUCAACCCUGGAAAGCCGGUGGAUACUGUCGGGCUAGAGUCCGGAAGAGGCGAGUGGAAUUCCUGGUGUAGCGGUGAAAUGCGCAGAUAUCAGGAGGAACACCAAUUGCGAAGGCAGCUCGCUGGGACGUUACUGACGCUGAGACGCGAAAGCGUGGGGAGCAAACAGG